rnacentral:rRNA from 1 species
UUUGGUGACUAUGGCGGUGGGGUCCACCUCUUCCCAUUCCGAACAGAGAAGUUAAGCCCACCAGCGCCGAUGAUACUGCCGAAAGGUGGAAAAGUAGGUCGUCGCCAUCC